GACGGAGGGGGCAAGCGUUGUCCGGAAUUAUUGGGCGUAAAGAGCUCGUAGGCGGUUUGUCGCGUCUGCUGUGAAAACUCGGGGCUUAACCCCGGGCCUGCAGUGGGUACGGGCAGACUAGAGUGCGGUAGGGGAGACUGGAAUUCCUGGUGUAGCGGUGAAAUGCGCAGAUAUCAGGAGGAACACCGGUGGCGAAGGCGGUUCUCUGGGCCUGUACUGACGCUGAGGAACGAAAGCGUGGGGAGCGAACAGG
rnacentral:rRNA from 1 species